rnacentral:tRNA from 1 species
GGGCCCAUAGCUCAGUUGGUUAGAGCCACCGGCUCAUAACCGGAAGGUCGUAGGUUCGAGUCCUACUGGGCCCACCA